UACGUAGGGGGCAAGCGUUGUCCGGAAUUAUUGGGCGUAAAGAGCGUGUAGGCGGCCAGAUAAGUCCGCUGUGAAAUCUCGAGGCUCAACUUCGAGCUGUCGGUGGAAACUAUCUGGCUAGAGUCCGGAAGAGGAGAAUGGAAUUCCUGGUGUAGCGGUGAAAUGCGCAGAUAUCAGGAAGAACACCCGUGGCGAAGGCGGUUCGCUGGGACAGUACUGACGCUGAGGCGCGAAAGCGUGGGGAGCGAACAGG
rnacentral:rRNA from 1 species